rnacentral:rRNA from 1 species
GAUGAACGCUGGCGGCGUGCCUAAUACAUGCAAGUCGAGCGAACAGACUAGGAGCUUGCUCCUCUGACGUUAGCGGCGGACGGGUGAGUAACACGUGGAUAUCCUACCUAUAAGACUGGGAUAACUUCGGGAAACCGGAGCUAAUACCGGAUAAUAUAUUGAACCGCAUGGUUCAAUAGUGAAAGACGGUUUUGCUGUCACUUAUAGAUGGAUCCGCGCCGCAUUAGCUAGUUGGUAAGGUAACGGCUUACCAAGGCAACGAUGCGUAGCCGACCUGAGAGGGUGAUCGGCCACACUGGAACUGAGACACGGUCCAGACUCCUACGGGAGGCAGCAGUAGGGAAUCUUCCGCAAUGGGCGAAAGCCUGACGGAGCAACGCCGCGUGAGUGAUGAAGGUCUUCGGAUCGUAAAACUCUGUUAUUAGGGAAGAACAAAUGUGUAAGUAACUAUGCACGUCUUGACGGUACCUAAUCAGAAAGCCACGGCUAACUACGUG